rnacentral:tRNA from 1 species
GCGUUCUUAGCUCAACCGGACAGAGCAACGGAUUUCUACUCCGUCGGUUCCGGGUUCGAAUCCUGGAGAGCGCGCCA